rnacentral:pre_miRNA from 1 species
GAUUAAUUGAAUCCAAUCCAUUAGCAACGUUUUUGUUUGAUGAACGGAUUUGAUGAAUUUUAUA